AGAAAAUAAGUGGGUGUGGCCCAAAAGGAAAUAAACAAAUAAAUGGGCUUAGCCCAAAUAAGAAAAAUAGAGAAGCCCAUGGAGAAGGCCCAAAGGUCAUAAAGAAAUGAAAAAGGCCCAAUGGAAAGUUUGUCAUGGAGGCGUGCCGAACGAAGUAUGUGACCGACAAAUAAGAACAAUUAUAAACACGUACGAAUCAAUAGUGAAUUAAUAUCCCACUAUUAUGAGAUAGGGAUCAGCCUAGCGUGUAGUCAGUGAUGCAUUCGGUCCACCGUGAAUAGAUAAAGGCAUCUCCUAGCAAUUUAUUCCGAGUCGCUCCGCUGAUAAAGGCUUGUUCGAGAUUUGGCGGGUCUUUUUCGGAAGUCUUAGACGCCGGCAGCGACCGGGGAGAGGUCGUUGCAUAUUGAUAGAAUUGAAGAUCUAUUGAUACAUUUUCUUAUGAAAAGUCAAAAUUUGCAAAGUCAAAACUCAAUCCAUUGAU